AAAUUGAAGAGUUUGAUCAUGGCUCAGAUUGAACGCUGGCGGCAGGCCUAACACAUGCAAGUCGAGCGGUAGCACAGAGAGCUUGCUCUCGGGUGACGAGCGGCGGACGGGUGAGUAAUGUCUGGGAAACUGCCUGAUGGAGGGGGAUAACUACUGGAAACGGUAGCUAAUACCGCAUAACGUCGCAAGACCAAAGUGGGGGACCUUCGGGCCUCAUGCCAUCAGAUGUGCCCAGAUGGGAUUAGCUAGUAGGUGGGGUAAUGGCUCACCUAGGCGACGAUCCCUAGCUGGUCUGAGAGGAUGACCAGCCACACUGGAACUGAGACACGGUCCAGACUCCUACGGGAGGCAGCAGUGGGGAAUAUUGCACAAUGGGCGCAAGCCUGAUGCAGCCAUGCCGCGUGUAUGAAGAAGGCCUUCGGGUUGUAAAGUACUUUCAGCGAGGAGGAAGGCGUUAAGGUUAAUAACCUUGGCGAUUGACGUUACUCGCAGAAGAAGCACCGGCUAACUCCGUGCCAGCAGCCGCGGUAAUACGGAGGGUGCAAGCGUUAAUCGGAAUUACUGGGCGUAAAGCGCACGCAGGCGGUCUGUCAAGUCGGAUGUGAAAUCCCCGGGCUCAACCUGGGAACUGCAUUCGAAACUGGCAGGCUAGAGUCUUGUAGAGGGGGGUAGAAUUCCAGGUGUAGCGGUGAAAUGCGUAGAGAUCUGGAGGAAUACCGGUGGCGAAGGCGGCCCCCUGGACAAAGACUGACGCUCAGGUGCGAAAGCGUGGGGAGCAAACAGGAUUAGAUACCCUGGUAGUCCACGCCGUAAACGAUGUCGACUUGGAGGUUGUGCCCUUGAGGCGUGGCUUCCGGAGCUAACGCGUUAAGUCGACCGCCUGGGGAGUACGGCCGCAAGGUUAAAACUCAAAUGAAUUGACGGGGGCCCGCACAAGCGGUGGAGCAUGUGGUUUAAUUCGAUGCAACGCGAAGAACCUUACCUACUCUUGACAUCCAGAGAACUUAGCAGAGAUGCUUUGGUGCCUUCGGGAACUCUGAGACAGGUGCUGCAUGGCUGUCGUCAGCUCGUGUUGUGAAAUGUUGGGUUAAGUCCCGCAACGAGCGCAACCCUUAUCCUUUGUUGCCAGCGGUCCGGCCGGGAACUCAAAGGAGACUGCCAGUGAUAAACUGGAGGAAGGUGGGGAUGACGUCAAGUCAUCAUGGCCCUUACGAGUAGGGCUACACACGUGCUACAAUGGCAUAUACAAAGAGAAGCGACCUCGCGAGAGCAAGCGGACCUCAUAAAGUAUGUCGUAGUCCGGAUUGGAGUCUGCAACUCGACUCCAUGAAGUCGGAAUCGCUAGUAAUCGUAGAUCAGAAUGCUACGGUGAAUACGUUCCCGGGCCUUGUACACACCGCCCGUCACACCAUGGGAGUGGGUUGCAAAAGAAGUAGGUAGCUUAACCUUCGGGAGGGCGCUUACCACUUUGUGAUUCAUGACUGGGGUGAAGUCGUAACAAGGUAACCGUAGGGGAACCUGCGGUUGGAUCACCUCCUUA
rfam:Enterobacter aerogenes KCTC 2190, complete genome.